rnacentral:misc_RNA from 1 species
UCUUUUCAAUGAUAUUUUAAAGGAUUUAAAUAACAUAAAUAGUUUAAAAAAAAAUGUUAUAAAAUGUCUGUUCUUAUAAAUGAUGGUGAAACCAUUGAUGACAAUGACAUGCAAAAAUGUGAUGUUGGCCAACUAAUUCUACAUGUUGAAAAGAUUAAAAACCGAAUUCAGAUAAUCAGCAAGAUGGCCGGCUAUAUAAAAUCAAUUAUACAAUGGAAAAGACCAAUAGUUACAAUAUUUUGGAUGUCAGUAUUUUGCUUUGCUAUUAUAAUUAAUCCAAUAUAUUUAUUCAUUGCAUUCAUUAUUCCAAUUCCACCUUUUAUGCUGGUUGAGCUGCUUCGAUCAGUUGGUAAAAAACCAGUACCUGAAAGAAGGUAUCAAGAUCUAUUUGAAAGAAAAGACAACUAUUAUCAUCAGAUAUUGAAGUAUGAAGAGCAAGUAAAAAGGAAAGAGCGCUUGAAUAAAUAUGUAGAAACAUUAAUGUUGCUGCAAAACAUAUUCAAGGAUAUUAAUCUGUUUUUCGACAGUAUAGAGUCAAUAUUGAAAUGGAAGCAUCGAAAAGUUUCUUUUUUGUUGAUGACAAUGGUUGUUCUUGUUGAAUUUUCAUUAUAUUUCUUUGAUAUUCGAUUUUUGCUAAUAUUUAUGGUGUUAGUGAUUUUCUUUGUAAACAAAUAUUUAUAUAGAGUGAUUUUAAAUUUGUUGACCAAACUUAAAACAGGUGUGGUUUCAUUGACAAAAUAUAAAACAGUUGUGGCUAAUGAAAAGUUAAUGAAUGCCCCAGUGGAUAUAAUAGAAGAAGCAAACAAAGAAAAUCAGAGCUAUGAUGUUACAGAUUAUGUCGAGGAUAUGAGCAGUUCCUCCGAAAGUGAUGAAGAUGUUGUUGAUGUUGAAGAUAUUAACAAUUCCUCAGCAUAUAAUCAUCACAGUUCAAAAGCAAGCAAGCAAGGAACGUUUGUAAUGUCAAAGUUUUUUUUGCGUCCUCUUCAUCGAAGAAAUAAGAUUGCAGGUUACAAGAGUUUACAAAAACUUGUUCAAGCUGUUAUCAACCAUGUUCCUCCAUACUGAACAAAAGACGUUAUUGUCGACAUUGUGGUAAAAGUUUCUGUGCUAAAUGCUGCCAUAAAAGCGUACCGAGAUCUUUUCUUGGAGCAACAGCUCCAGCCGCUCAUCAAGAAAAGGUUUUGGUUUGCAUGAGCUGCCACGCUUUUGUUACUAAUCGCUUCAACUCUACGCCUUCUGAAAUAGUUCUAUAGAAUGAAGAUAUAAUGUUAUUGCUAAUAAUUGUAAAGAAUUGAUCUAAACAUUUAA